rnacentral:rRNA from 1 species
CGAAAGAUGGUGAACUAUGCCUGAAUAGGGCGAAGCCAGGGGCAACUCUGGUGGAGGCUCAUAGCGGUUGUGACGU